rnacentral:lncRNA from 1 species
AUGCAAAUUGUGUUUACGUUGCUUUACGUCAAAUUUUUCGCAACACGUUUUUUUUUUUACUAUAGCUACAAAACUUACGAAAACCCAGUCUGUGUAUUUCAAAACGUCUGUUUAUUAGUGCCCCCUAAGAAUGCAGCUCACGUUUUUUUGUUGCUUUACGCCAAAUACAUCGCAACACAUUUUUAACCAUAGCUACAAAACUUACGAAAACCCAGUCUGCGUAUUUUAAAGCAUCGAGCACCGAGUCUCAGUAUCUCGAAGCAUUUUCGCCUGCAUUUUACUGCCCCCUUGUGGAAAUGCUCAGAAUGCAGCUCGCGUUUUCGUUACUAUACGCCAAAUACGUCGCAACACGUUUUUGUUACACCAUAACUACAAAACUAACGUAAACCCAGUCUCUCUGCGUAUCUCAAAGCGUCUGCGUUUGUGUCCUUGUGUGAAUUACAUUUCUUUCAGUUCUACGAGAACUGCUGUACGCCAUACUCUAAUCUAUUAUGUGUGUAUUAGGGUAUUACAUGUGAUACUGUAGGUCAACGCUUUAAAAGGUCAAAAUACACGGGACGAGAGAACAAUAUCCACCUGCCAAUGCUUUCAGAGGUCAUAUAGUCGAUAUAGUUUUGAUAUAUUUCCUCACUGCUUAUCAGGAACAUGAUGAUAAUAAUUCAGAGUGUAAAAGAGUGUAAAAAUUAACUGAAAAGUUAUUUGUGAAAUGUGUUCGUUUGAUUGAUUUCCUUUUUUUCCUUAAAUCUCUGAAUUGUAGUGUUAUGUUGUUUUUGUUUAAUUUUUCUGGAGUGGGUGUUUUUUAUUUUGAGUGGGACGUGAGUUUGUAAAUUAAGGUUGAAGUAAAGAAGUGUGGCCUUUUAAUAUUUAGAUUUAUGCUGACUUCCGAUGAUUAACUUACUUCCCUAUCUUAUUUUUCAGCAGGAUUAUCUGUAGUGCUGUAGUGUGUUUAAGUAGGUGCCAGAUCAAGCUGAGGAGAGCUAAAGGUCGUGUGGUUUCACGAUUCUGGUGGAAAUACAGCUCUGGAAUAAAAUAAGAGAGCACUUAAAAAUGAUGAGUUUC